CCUACGGGGGGCAGCAGUCGAGAAUCAUUCACAAUGGGGGAAACCCUGAUGGUGCGACGCCGCGUGGGGGAAUGAAGGUCUUCGGAUUGUAAACCCCUGUCAUGUGGGAGCAAAUUAAAAAGAUAGUACCACAAGAGGAAGAGACGGCUAACUCUGUGCCAGCAGCCGCGGUAAUACAGAGGUCUCAAGCGUUGUUCGGAAUCACUGGGCGUAAAGGGUGCGUAGGCUGUUUCGUAAGGCGGGUGUGAAAGGCGCGGGCUCAACCCGCGGACGGCACAUGAUACUGCGAGACUAGAGUAAUGGAGGGGUAAGCGGAAUUCUCGGUGUAGCGGUGAAAUGCGUAGAUAUCGAGAGGAACACUCGUGGCGAAGGCGGGUUCCUGGACAGUAACUGACGCUGAGGCACGAAGGCGAGGGGAGCAAAAGGGAUUAGAUACCCUUGUAGUC
rnacentral:rRNA from 1 species